GCUUCAUGGGGACAGAUGCCAUGCAAGGCAGAAGGAGGACGGAAAGUGACCAUAGGCACGGUCGAAGAGAAAAAUUGACUUCAACAUUAAGACUGAAUUCAACAAGUUGUUAAAUUCUGGACCCAAUGACUUGCUACCUAAAUAGAAACAGGUAAACACACCCAUAGAGUGUAUUCACAGGAGGAGACUCAUAAAAAUAAUUGGCUA